GACGAGCAAAUGAGAAAUUACUGCAUGCAUCAAGUGAAUAAAUACAAAUAUGCACGAUAGAAAACGUGCAAUCGAAAAUUGAUGAAAUACAAAGGGUUGUAUGGCAUGUUAUCCAUCGUGAGAUUUGCGCAAUCUAAUUUAAAUUUAAAAUUAAAAUGAUAUGUUUAACAUAUAAUUUUAAUUUUAAGUUUAAAAUUAAAUUUAAAUUUUAAAAUAUACUGCGGU
rnacentral:lncRNA from 1 species